GACGAACCGAGCGAACGUUGUUCGGAAUCACUGGGCUUAAAGGGCGCGUAGGCGGGUUUGCAAGUCCGGGGUGAAAUCCCACAGCUCAACUGUGGAACUGCCUCGGAUACUGUGAGUCUCGAGGGUGGCAGGGGUAUGCGGAACUAUCGGUGGAGCGGUGAAAUGCGUUGAUAUCGAUAGGAACUCCGGUGGCGAAGGCGGCAUACUGGUCCACUUCUGACGCUGAGGCGCGAAAGCUAGGGGAGCAAACGGG
rnacentral:rRNA from 1 species